UACCAUGGAAUACCACUCCAGAUGUGGUAACU
rnacentral:piRNA from 1 species